AAAUGGGGCCCAUCCAGUUGCAACAAUGGUGCUAUCUGUACCAUUUAGAGCUUUGAUCUCAGGACCAAGAACUGAUUUUACUAUACUUGGUGGUUUCCUAGAGGCAUGAAAAGCUGCAUAUGCUAUAAAAGUAAGGAAUAGGACCAAAAAUUUGUGGAAAGUUAGAGUCUUUUCUGGUGGAUUGAGUGUUGGGAAGAGAUUGUGACCUGGUGGUGGCUUUAUAGGUGGAACUGAAUUAAGGGGUUUGAGU
rnacentral:misc_RNA from 1 species